UACGGAGGGUGCGAGCGUUGUCCGGAAUCACUGGGCGUAAAGGGCGCGUAGGUGGCCUGUGGAAGUCUGCGGUGAAAGCCCGGCGCUCAACGCCGGGUCGGCCGUGGAUACUCUCGGGCUUGAGACUGGCACGCUAGAGUUCGGGAGAGGAUGGUGGAAUUCCCAGUGUAGAGGUGAAAUUCGUAGAUAUUGGGAAGAACACCGAUGGCGAAGGCAGCCAUCUGGACCGACACUGACGCUGAGGCGGCGAAAGCGUGGGGAGCAAACAGGG
rnacentral:rRNA from 1 species